rnacentral:rRNA from 1 species
GACGAACCGGACGAACGUUAUUCGGAAUCAUUGGGCUUAAAGUGUGCGUAGGCGGCCUUGUAGGUGAGGUGUGAAAUCCCACGGCUCAACCGUGGAACUGCGCUUCAAACCACACGGCUUGAGUGAGGCAGAGGUAAGCGGAACUGAUGGUGGAGCGGUGAAAUGCGUUGAUAUCAUCAGGAACACCGGUGGCGAAGGCGGCUUACUGGGCCUUGUCUGACGCUGAGGCACGAAAGCUAGGGGAGCAAACGGG